rfam:Tortispora caseinolytica NRRL Y-17796 unplaced genomic scaffold CANCAscaffold_1, whole genome shotgun sequence.
UCCCGCGUAGCUCAGUCGGUAGAGCGUUCGGCUUUUAAGAUACUUAAGGCCACCGAAAUGUCCAGGGUUCGAGCCCCUGCGUGGGAG